UUUUGGACAAUGGGCGCAAGCCUGAUCCAGCAAUGCCGCGUGAGUGAAGAAGGCCUUCGGGUUGUAAAGCUCUUUUGUCAGGGAAGAAACGGUGAGCUCUAAUACAGUUUGCUAAUGACGGUACCUGAAGAAUAAGCACCGGCUAACUACGUGCCAGCAGCCGCGGUAAUACGUAGGGUGCAAGCGUUAAUUGGAAUUACUGGGCGUAAAGCGUGCGCAGGCGGUUAUGUAAGUCAGAUGUGAAAUCCCCGGGCUCAACCUGGGAAUGGCAUUUGAGACUGCAUGGCUAGAGUGUGUCAGAGGGGGGUAGAAUUCCACGUGUAGCAGUGAAAUGCGUAGAGAUGGGAGGAAUACCGAUGGCGAAGGCAGCCCCCUGGGAUAACACUACGCUCAUCACAGA
rnacentral:rRNA from 1 species